rnacentral:rRNA from 1 species
GAUGAACGCUGACAGAAUGCUUAACACAUGCAAGUCAACUGUGGCGGACGGGUGAGUAACGCGUAAAGAACUUUCCUCCCAGUUAGGGACAACAUUUGGAACCGAAUGCUAAUACCUGAUACUGUGAGAGAGCUUUGCGUCCCAUUAGCUUGUUGGAGAGGUAACGGCUCACCAAGGCGAUGAUGGGUAGCCGGCCUGAGAGGGUGAUCGGCCACAAGGGGACUGAGACACGGCACUUACGCCUACGGGAGGAAGCAGUGGGGAAUAUUGGACAAUGGACCAAAGUCUGAGCCAGCAAUGCUGUGUGAACGAUGAAGUUUUCGGAAUGUAAAGGGCUUUCAGUUGGGAAGCAGUACCAACAGAAGAAGGGACGGCUAAAUACGUGCCAGCAGCCGCGGUAAUUC